GAUGAACGCUGGCGGCGUGCCUAAUACAUGCAAGUCGAGCGAACAGAUGAGGAGCUUACUCCUCUGACGUUAGCGGCGGACGGGUGAGUAACACGUGGAUAACCUACCUAUAAGACUGGGAUAACUUCGGGAAACCGGAGCUAAUACCGGAUAAUAUAUUGAACCGCAUGGUUCAAUAGUGAAAGACGGUUUUGCUGUCACUUAUAGAUGGAUCCGCGCUGCAUUAGCUAGUUGGUAAGGUAACGGCUUACCAAGGCAACGAUGCGUAGCCGACCUGAGAGGGUAAUCGGCCACACUGGAACUGAGACACGGUCCAGACUCCUACGGGAGGCAGCAGUAGGGAAUCUUCCGCAAUGGGCGAAAGCCUGACGGAGCAACGCCGCGUGAGUGAUGAAGGUCUUCGGAUCGUAAAACUCUGUUAUUAGGGAAGAACAAAUGUGUAAGUAACUAUGCACGCCUUGACGGUACCUAAUCAGAAAGCCACGGCUAACUACGUG
rnacentral:rRNA from 1 species